CCUACGGGUGGCUGCAGUGAGGCAUAUUGGUCAAUGGGCGGGAGCCUGAACCAGCCAAGCCGCGUGAAGGACGACGGUGCUACGGGUUGUAAACUUCUUUUGUCAAGGAAUAAAAUCAGGCUCGUGUGCCUGACCGAGGGUACUUGAAGAAUAAGCAUCGGCUAACUCCGUGCCAGCAGCCGCGGUCAUACGGAGGAUGCGAGCGUUAUCCGGAUUUAUUGGGUUUAAAGGGUGCGUAGGCGGGAUGUUCAGUCAGUGGGUAAAGGUUGGGGGUCAAACCCAGGAGAGCCGUUGAAACUGGCUGUCUUGAGAUGAGGAGAGGUAUGCGGAAUGCGUGGUGUAGCGGUGAAAUGCUUAGAUAUUGCGAAGAACUCCGAUUGCGAAGGCAGCAUACCGACGGCGAUCUGACGCUGAGGCACGAAAGCGUGGGUAUCGAACAGGAGUAGAUACCCGAGUAGUC
rnacentral:rRNA from 1 species